rnacentral:lncRNA from 1 species
AAGUCUGUCUCGGGAAUCAAAAGUUUGUAGAUUUGGUUAAGAAAUUCGUGCAAUAAAUAAACAGGUUAUGUCACUAAUAUAGCUUUCAACGGAUUACGUAAUACUCAGUCUGACUGUCUUGGUUUAAACUAAACUUUCUCGUCGGUGGAUAGCUGAAUCACAUCAUUAUCAGAACAUUCACUGAAAAACAGAAAUAUUUCAUCUCUCUGAAAAUGCUUUCAAAACAUAACUAUGAAUGGAUAACACGAAAUGUAUAAUUAUGUUAAUUAGGUAGUAGAUGAUUGCACACGCUUAGAGUCUCCAUUUGAAUUAAAAGCGUUGUGGCAUACUGUAGUAGCAGAAAAUUUACAUCGAUAAAAUAUUACCUAGGGAGAUAAAAUAAACAAUAUGUAAUGAAUGAGGGAAAGUGAGUGAUAGAGGAGAAAUGUUCUUGUGCAGGGUUUUGAUUUACACGGCUUUGCUGGUGAAAUAUUGUGGCAGCUGUACUAAAAAAUUGAGGGACUUUAAUGAUCGGGAUGAUUUUUCCAACUUCGUAAGAAAGAGUAUGUCAUCCAGAGCUCUACCGAGCACUGAGGAUGGUAGGGCAGCAGUGGUAACAGUUGAACUCACUAUUGAAAGUUUCGAUUCUAUCAACGAGAAUGACAUGGUAUAUUGCUUUUUGUUACUCGAAAUAUUAAAGUUAAUGGCUAUCAUAGCUUACAUAACGAUCAUUAAUGUUAAUUCAUAUUUUCAUAUCACAGGACACGCCUAUUUCUAUAUUAUCCCCCUUAAAAACAGUUUUAAUCUUUUAUCCAUUGCUUCUUCAUAAUAACAUCACAUUCUAUUAUGUUUAAGUUU